UACGGGGGGAGCAAGCGUUGUUCGGAUUUACUGGGCGUAAAGGGCGCGUAGGCGGUCAGCACAAGUCAGUUGUGAAAUCUCCGGGCUUAACUCGGAAAGGUCAACUGAUACUGUGCGACUAGAGUGCAGAAGGGGCAACUGGAAUUCUCGGUGUAGCGGUGAAAUGCGUAGAUAUCGAGAGGAACACCUGCGGCGAAGGCGGGUUGCUGGGCUGACACCGACGCUGAUGCGCGAAAGCCAGGGGAGCGAACGGG
rnacentral:rRNA from 1 species